rnacentral:rRNA from 1 species
AGAGUUUGAUCCUGGCUCAGAUUGAACGCUGGCGGCAUGCCUUACACAUGCAAGUCGAACGGCAGCACGGGAGCAAUCCUGGUGGCGAGUGGCGAACGGGUGAGUAAUAUAUCGGAACGUGCCCAGUCGUGGGGGAUAACGUAGCGAAAGCUACGCUAAUACCGCAUACGAUCUAUGGAUGAAAGCGGGGGAUCGCAAGACCUCGCGCGAUUGGAGCGGCCGAUAUCAGAUUAGGUAGUUGGUGGGGUAAAGGCUCACCAAGCCGACGAUCUGUAGCUGGUCUGAGAGGACGACCAGCCACACUGGGACUGAGACACGGCCCAGACUCCUACGGGAGGCAGCAGUGGGGAAUUUUGGACAAUGGGCGCAAGCCUGAUCCAGCAAUGCCGCGUGCAGGAUGAAGGCCUUCGGGUUGUAAACUGCUUUUGUACGGAGCGAAAAGGCUCUCUC